CGGAUCGCAUGGAUUGCACCAGCCGUAUCGACUACUCUGACGAUCCUGUAUCCGGAGGACUUGACGUGCCUCGAUGUGGGGAUUUCCAUAUGCUGAAAAUCGAAAUCCAAGCGUACCGGGUGUUUGAACUCGGCAGGACUUCAUCCAGCAGCAUAAGAAUCAGAAAAUACCCAGAAGCCAUGGAUAUGAACCUGAACUAUAAAUAUCUGAUGAGUAGCACGCGAGGCGGAGCUGGUGCCGAGUUCAUUGUCAUAGUGAUUGCGAUUGCAAUGAUGGUUCCAUCCAUGAUUGACAAUUUGAAGUAGCUAAGAGGCAUGAGCCGGUGGGUAAUGGUUCGGAGAAUUACGUCAAUGGAAAUGGAAUCCCAAGUGUGUCUAUUCGGAGAAGAACACGUAAAGGCCUUGUCGAGCACCACGGCCAACGCUUGGGUGUCCGACACACUCCAUAGGCCACCAAUGUCAGCUGGAUGAUUUUUCGCCAAUCACUCUUCGCGUGCAACGCCUCGGCUCCAACAUUCCGGAAGAGAAAGGGCCUCAACAAGCAGGGUGACACUCAAUGCUUUGGGAUAGGGCCCUUAUUCGACACCGUCUGGCAAAGCAUUCCCACCUGAAUAAAGCAUGGUGAUGAAAUGACCAAAGAAUGUCAUCCGGUCUCAAGUAAGAAAGUGGAAGGUGAAUCUGGUGGCACCCCGCUUGUCACAACCAGUCGACGCGACGAUGAAGACGACGGAUGAUUAGCUCUGCGAGGCCCAAAUCAUCAGCAGUAAUGUGAUCUUUCACUUUUUCUCACCAUUUCUACUGCUUCGGUAGCGUUGUGAGAAUCUUUUACCAUUGGAGAUGCUUCGACUAUGUGGGUACUAGAUAGGCUGGAGUCCGUACAAUAAGGUUCUGACAGAGAAAUCACGAAAAAACGAUCACGCUGCGACUGCACAAGCACCUACCCUACCAGUCAGCUGAUGAUUAUAAUCGGUGUGUUGGCAUAUGCUGACUUAUAAACGCUAGAUCGUCUUUGUACGAGAUAAAAGUGAGUGUCAGUUUGAUGUGCUGUUAGUAAUCCUGCUGAAUGGACUGAAGUAGGGUCGGAGUUUGCAAUAAUUAUAUAUUCAAAUAAACAUAUUUUGCAAUCUGCGGUUGGUAACACUCAAGAACAUAGAGUCUAUCUAUUCUGUGAAUAAGUCCGUGUCGUCUUCACGGUGCAAUUAUCGACACAUCUGCGUGAGAUGAAUGAACAUGUUAUUAUUUUAAAUCGUUGACUUACUGUGUUUCAUUAGCAUACAAAUAUAUUCAUGUUCUCGGUUAAUAGAUGAAAACUAGGAAUAUCUAAUGAAAUGUGUACCUGGAA